rnacentral:tRNA from 13 species
GUCCCCAUCGUCUAGCCUGGUCCAGGACGACGGCCUUUCACGCCGUUAACAGGGGUUCAAAUCCCCUUGGGGACGCCA